UCAGAAAAGUUACCACAGGGAUAAC
rnacentral:ncRNA from 2 species